UAUCGUUUCCGAAUAAACUCGGUCUCUCACACAUUAUUGCAUUAAGGGCUUAGAGCACCUUUAUCGGUGUCCCUUGAGCCGGCCCUUAUAAUAUUUUGGAUCAAAAAUAAAUCAAAAAGAGUAAAGGACGUUGCAAACGGACCUAAAAUAAGGGAUGUUCGGUUGCGUCCCUCUUGGCUACGUGGCAGCUGGGUAGUGGGAGAUGUAAUCGAAGACGGUUCAGUAUUUCUUUUGUUUGUUCUUCUCUCUUCUCCAAUAUCACCGAAGGCGACGGCGAAGGCUGUGCCGAGUUACGAGGACAAGACUUGCUUCCUAUCGCCGCAUCUUCUUCGGAAAACCCUUUUAACUUCCCAUCAACCGCCUCCACUUCCUUCCACACUCCACCUCCUCUCACCGAUUUCCCCCAUGAUCUCUGUGUUUCUCUGGAGAGAAAGGAGAUGAUGCGUGGACAAGUGGAAACAUGCUACCUUCUCCUUCUGGCCCAGAAUCUUUGCAUGGAUACCAUCAUGUUAUCGAACAUCCAAACGAAGAGCAUCAUACUAUGACUAGUGGUGGAGCUCAUAUCAUGAUAUGCUCAUGCAACCACUUCAGGGCAUGCACAUGACACAUGCUCGGCCUCUUGAAGCACUUUUCUGUUGAAGGUCAGCUCGAGUUCAAGGCUGUCAUCUUUGUUCCCAAGAGAGCUCCUUUUGAUCUCUUUGACACCAAGAAGAAGCCAAACAACAUCAAGCUUUAUAUGUUUUAUAUAAAACUUCUUUUUAAUAUGUCAUUAUUUAUUAAAAUAAACAAUUAAUUUACUAAGGGACAAUAAAAGUCCUACCAAUUAUCUACAAAUUUAAAAAAGUCCUUAACUUUCUCCUUAAACAUAAAAGUCUAAUAUAAUAUUGUUAAGGGCUUUUGUUUUA